rnacentral:rRNA from 1 species
UUGAAAGGGAAACGAUUGAAGUCAGUCGUACCAGCGGGAAAUCAACCUUUCGCGUGGGGGUUUUGGAGUUUUGAAGAGUUUCAAAACCUUUGAGAUUUCAAAAUUUUCGCUCCUUUGGUGUACUUUCUCGUGGGUAGGUUAACAUCGAUUUCGAUCAUCAUAAAAGGAUUGGAGGAAUGUAGCUUCGAUCUUGUAUUGAAGUGUUAUAGCCUUUGGUAAAUGUGAUGAUUGGGAUCGAGGAUUGCAACGAAUACCCUUUUGGGCUAUCCGCCUGAUCUCUGAUACGUGGCCUUGGCAUCGAAAGCUUGCUUAUGGUAUCAAGGUAUUACGGUCAAAAGGUUAGAACGGAUUACAUUCGUUAAGGAUGUUGACGUA